CGGGUGAGUAACACGUGAGUAACCUGCCCCAGGCUUUGGGAUAACCCCGGGAAACCGGGGCUAAUACCGGAUAUGACCAUCUGUCGCAUGGUGGGUGGUGGAAAGAUUUUUUGGCUUGGGAUGGGCUCGCGGCCUAUCAGCUUGUUGGUGGGGUGAUGGCCUACCAAGGCGGCGACGGGUAGCCGGCCUGAGAGGGCGACCGGCCACACUGGGACUGAGACACGGCCCAGACUCCUACGGGAGGCAGCAGUGGGGAAUCUUGCACAAUGGGCGGAAGCCUGAUGCAGCGACGCCGCGUGAGGGAUGACGGCCUUCGGGUUGUAAACCUCUUUCAGCAGGGACGAAGCGUUUGUGACGGUACCUGCAGAAGAAGCGCCGGCCAACUACGUGCCAGCAGCCGCGGUAAGACGUAGGGCGCAAGCGUUGUCCGGAUUUAUUGGGCGUAAAGAGCUCGUAGGCGGCUUGUCGCGUCGACUGUGAAAACCCGUGGCUCAACUGCGGGCUUGCAGUCGAUACGGGCAGGCUAGAGUUCGGUAGGGGAGACUGGAAUUCCUGGUGUAGCGGUGAAAUGCGCAGAUAUCAGGAGGAACACCGGUGGCG
rnacentral:rRNA from 1 species